rnacentral:rRNA from 1 species
GACGAACGCUGGCGGCGUGCUUAACACAUGCAAGUCGAACGGAAAGGCCCCUUUGGGGGUACUCGAGUGGCGAACGGGUGAGUAACACGUGAGUAACCUGCCCUUGACUUCGGGAUAACUUCAGGAAACUGGGGCUAAUACCGGAUAGGAAUCCUUGCUGCAUGGUGGGGGUUGGAAAGCUUCGGCGGUUUUGGAUGGACUCGCGGCUUAUCAGCUUGUUGGUGGGGUAGUGGCUUACCAAGGCUUUGACGGGUAGCCGGCCUGAGAGGGCGACCGGCCACCUUGGGACUGAGAUACGGCCCAGACUCCUACGGGAGGAAGAAGUGGGGAAUAUUGCACAAUGGGAGGACGCCUGAUGCAGCAACGCCGCGUGCGGGAUGACGGCCUUCGGGUUGUAAACCGCGUUCAGCAGGGGCGAAGCUUGUGGUGACGGUACCUGCAGAAGAAGCACCGGCUAACUACGUG